rnacentral:rRNA from 1 species
GAUCAUGGCUCAGGAUGAACGCUAGCUACAGGCUUAACACAUGCAAGUCGAGGGGAAACGAUAUUGGAAGCUUGCUUCCGAUAGGCGUCGACCGGCGCACGGGUGAGUAACGCGUAUCCAACCUGCCCGUCACUUGGGGAUAACCUUGCGAAAGUAAGACUAAUACCCGAUGAUAUCCCUAGAAGACAUCUGAAAGGGAUUAAAGAUUUAUCGGUGAUGGAUGGGGAUGCGUCUGAUUAGCUUGUUGGCGGGGUAACGGCCCACCAAGGCGACGAUCAGUAGGGGUUCUGAGAGGAAGGUCCCCCACAUUGGAACUGAGACACGGUCCAAACUCCUACGGGAGGCAGCAGUGAGGAAUAUUGGUCAAUGGGCGAGAGCCUGAACCAGCCAAGUAGCGUGCAGGACGACGGCCCUAUGGGUUGUAAACUGCUUUUAUAAGGGAAUAAAGUGAGUCUCGUGAGACUUUUUGCAUGUACCUUAUGAAUAAGGACCGGCUAAUUCCGUG